rnacentral:lncRNA from 1 species
GGAACUGGUUCUACCUGCUUUUCUGAGCCUGGAAGUCCCCCUUAGGCAGUGCACCUCAGAGAAAGGUGAGGCAAGACAGAGUGCCUGAUGGCAUGAGCCUCACUCCUAUCCAGACAGCCGCUUCUUCAGGGGCCCAGGAAAUCUUCUGGAACCUUGGAGAUUCCAGGCAAAUUGCAGGUGCGUUCUUCUGGGGAGAGGGUUUAUCACUUUCAUCAGACUCUCAAAGGCGUCCUCGAAUCAGAAACUUUAAAAAUAGGCUGGGUGCGGUGGUUCGCACAUGUAAUCUCAGCACUCUGGGAGGCCAAGGCGGGCCGAUCACCUGAGGUCAGGAGUUCAAGAUCAGCCUGGCCAACAUGGUGAAACUCCAUCUCUACUAAAAGAAAUACAAAAAUUAGCCAAGUGUGGUGGCCCACGCCUGUAGUUCCAGCUUCUCAGGAGGCUGAGGCAUGAGAAUCGCUUAAACCUAGGAGGCGAAGGCUGCAGUAAGCCGAGAUUGCGCCACUGCACUGCAGCCUGGGCAACAGAGUGAGACUCUAUCUUAAAUUUUUUUUUUUAAAAAAAAGAAUAGAAAUUGAAAAAACAAAGCUGAACAACCAUUCAAAGGAAGAUUUGCUGAGGUAGAUUUUUCUACAUGCAAACUCUGAGAGGCAAGUCAUUUGUGGGCUCUUAGUGUCAGGAAGCAGGAGCCAAAUAUCCCUUUUCUAGAGAAAGGGGAAGCCAAUUCCCGGUGGUGUUAACUUCAUUACACUUAAAAGAUCUCCCGUGGGCAGAUCCUGGAUGGAUCCCUGAGUGCUGAGAAUAUGAUGGGCACCAACCAUCAUACAGCGUGUCCACCUUUUAUUUAUUCCCAGAUUUUGAUGAGAAGAUAUAAACAGAGAGAGCACAUUUUUAAAAUUACCGAAUCACCCCACUGCUCUUCUACAUUCAGGCUGGGCGCGGUUGCUUAUGCCCAUAAUCCCAGCAGUUUGGGAGGCCGAGGCGGGC